rnacentral:lncRNA from 1 species
CAUUGCCUUCAUAUCCAACACAGAAGAGGAAAACAGUCAAGAUAUGGAUAAAGAAUGGGCCAAUGAAGUUGCAAUGCUGGGAAGACAGUUUAACAGAUUGUUAAAGAAAAUGGACGUAAGAUCCAAGACAAAUGUCAAGAACAUCUCAUCUGACAUCAGCAAUGGAAGAAGAGUAAGGCCAGAGGAGAAGCCCAAAGAAGGAAAAGAAGUAAAGUGCUAUGAAUGUGAUGGGUAUGGACACAUUAGAACAGAAUGUG